rnacentral:misc_RNA from 1 species
GUAAGCGUCGCGCACACCCCCGCGUGCACUCGAUGAUUUUCCGUGAACGCGCCGCCAGGAAAUCGAACGGGAGAAGCCAGCCGGCCGAAUCUAAGCCGAAACGCCUUGGCGAACCAUAGCUCGAUUUAAUAUUUCAAUUGGGCCGACCCGAUCCGAACUGACGACCCUGAAACGCGCAAAACCAAAAAUAUCGACACACCAUGUACCGAGAUCUAAAGGCCAGUUUUUUACUUCGAAACAGGAGGCCAACUUCUUCCUUUGAAUCACUCGUGCUGAGAAUGCGCUCCAAGAGGAUCUUCCUGUCUGCAAACAGCGAAUACUCGUCUUGUCCUUACUUAGUUACCUAUUUUUCACUAAUCGAUUAAAUGGUUUGAAGAAGCCGAUUAGUAUUAAGACUUCGGUAGAAGAAUUAAGAAGAAAGUAGAGACUUUAGAGUCGAUUUAUGUGGAAACUGAUGAUAAAAUGAUGAUAACGGGCGAAUUUUUCACAAUAGGUAGAUACAAAGUUGUGUAUUUUACAUAAUAAUAUGUU